GCCGGCAUAGCUCAGCUGGUAGAGCAAAUCAUUCGUAAUGAUUAGGUCGCAGGUUCAAGUCCUGUUGCCGGCA
rnacentral:tRNA from 1 species